CCGAGUCGGUAAAGCAAGGAGUUAUGGCGUUGCGAACUUUGUCGCACAAACGACCAAACAAAAAGACCAACACAUGCAAGGGGAAGAACUUAAGUGCUGAGUGCAAAACUAGUGGCGGACGGGUGAGUAACGCGUGGGCAACCUACCCAUAAGAGGGGGAUAACAGCUGGAAACGGCUGCUAAUACCGCAUAAGCUUAGCUGGACGCAUGUUUGGUUAAGUAAAGGAGGCUUAGGCUUCCGCUUAUGGAUGGGCCCGCGUCUGAUUAGCUAGUUGGUAGGGUAACGGCCUACCAAGGCGACGAUCAGUAGCCGGCCUGAGAGGGUGUACGGCCACACUGGGACUGAGACACGGCCCAGACUCCUACGGGAGGCAGCAGUGGGGAAUAUUGCGCAAUGGGGGAAACCCUGACGCAGCGACGCCGCGUGAGCGAAGAAGGCCUUCGGGUUGUAAAGCUCUGUUGUAAGGGACGAAGGAUUGGGGUAGUAACUGACCCCAAGGUGACGGUACCUUACGAGGAAGCCCCCGGCUAACUACGUG
rnacentral:rRNA from 1 species